rnacentral:rRNA from 1 species
UACGGAGGGCGCAAGCGUUGUUCGGAAUCACUGGGCGUAAAGCGCGUGUAGGCGGAUUGGUAAGUCGGGAGUGAAAGCCCGGAGCUCAACUCCGGAACUGCAUUCGAAACUACCUCGCUCGAGUCCCGGAGAGGGUGGUGGAAUUCCCGGUGUAGAGGUGAAAUUCGUAGAUAUCGGGGGGAACACCAGUGGCGAAGGCGGCCACCUGGACGGUGACUGACGCUGAGACGCGAAAGCGUGGGGAGCAAACAGG